AGUAACGCGUAAGAACUAGCCUUUGGGAGGGGAACAACAACUAGAAACGGCUGCUAAUACCCCAUUGGCUGAGGAGCAAAAGGAGGAAUCCGCCUGAGGAGGGGUUCGCGUCUAAUUAGCUAGUUGGUGAGGCAAUAUCUUACCAAGGUGAUGAUUAGUAGCUUUUGAAAAAUGGC
rnacentral:ncRNA from 1 species